AUGAAAUUAAGCAGUAGCCCACCUGGCGGAAGCCACCUCUAGGGGACGUGUCCCUGACUGAGCCUGGGGCUGCACGAGUCGCAUUCGCGUGAGCUUCUGGCUCCGUUCCUCUCAGAGAAGAGGGAAGCAGCGGCCGCGCGCAGCCCGCGGGCGGGAGCGUCCCGAGCGGUGGAGGCGCGUGCAGCUCGCGCCGGGGCAGGCGGCGUGCGGGGCUCGGCGGCGAGGGAGCAGCAGCGGCCGUGCAGACCGGGAGCCCCAGUGCUCAAGUGGAUUGCUGUGUUAGUAAGAGCUUCACACCAUCCAGGCUGCCAAGUGGAGAGCUUGUGUGAUCCAGUCACUAGGAUGUCUUGAGGAUGAAGUAGGAUUUGUCAUUUUUCUUAAAUCUUCCUGACAGUAAAUGCUCUGAAACCCUGUCGAGAGUGUCAAGUGGCUACUCAAAAAUACCCAUGGAUUCAUGGGUUUGUUCGGCCUGGGAAGUUCAAGUGAAGGCAAACCUGCGAUUAAGCCCUACAGUGGAACCAUUUUGUCACUGUUCCUUCCCAGAAAUGGUUGUAUCAGAUGCUCUUGCUACACAUAACUUCUGGAAUCAAACUCUAAGAAAAUACACAUUAAAAUAUUAUGGCAACGCAUUAGUAUUUGUUGAUUACAGAAUUCAAUUUUGUGUUGCAGCUCUUACUGUUCAGUGUUAAUAUAGCUGUCUGCUUGUUUUUAUGGACUGUGAUGAGCUUCUG
rnacentral:lncRNA from 1 species